GUCUUCGUAGUAUAAUAAAAUACCCCGGUCUUGUAAACCGGAAAAGGAGAACCCAUCUCUCCCUAAGACU
rnacentral:tRNA from 1 species